rnacentral:rRNA from 1 species
AGUGAACGCUGGCGGUAGGCCUAACACAUGCAAGUCGAACGGCAGCACAGAGGAGCUUGCUCCUUGGGUGGCGAGUGGCGGACGGGUGAGGAAUACAUCGGAAUCUACUCUGUCGUGGGGGAUAACGUAGGGAAACUUACGCUAAUACCGCAUACGACCUACGGGUGAAAGCAGGGGAUCUUCGGACCUUGCGCGAUUGAAUGAGCCCAUGUCGGAUUAGCUAGUUGGCGGGGUAAAGGCCCACCAAGGCGACGAGCCGUAGCUGGGCUGGGAGGAUGAUCAGCCACACUGGAACUGAGACACGGUCCAGACUCCUACGGGAGGCAACAGUGGGGAAUUUUGGACAAUGGGGGCAACCCUGAUCCAGCCAUGCCGCGUGAGUGAAGAAGGCCUUCGGGUUGUAAAGCUCUUUAGUCCGGGAAGAAACGGCGCAGUCGAAUAAACUGCGCUAAUGACGGUACCGGAAGAAUAAGCACCGGCUAACUACGUGCCAGCAGCCGCCGUAA